rnacentral:pre_miRNA from 1 species
GUUGUCGGAUUCACUUCAAUCUAUAUGUGUUGGUGUGGAUUGAAGUGGAAUUUAGUUCAAGUUCCACUCCGAUCCACCUCAACACAUAUAGAUUGAUGUGAAUCCGACU